GCCUCGUUAGCUCAGUCGGUAGAGCAUUAGGCUUUUAACCUAAGGGUCCGGGGUUCGAGCCCCUGACGAGGCG
rnacentral:tRNA from 1 species